rnacentral:tRNA from 1 species
GAAGGUAUAGCUCAGUGGUAGAGCACAUGCUUAGCAUGCUUAGGUCCUGGGUUCAAUCCUCAGUACCUCCA